UCUGGGAGAUGAUGUAAACAAAAGGCCGAAUUGUAGCCCCCCCCAGGCAGUGUGUUCUCAGAGGGGGGUGCUCUGACAAAGACCCACCGAAGCGUUUAUCUGAUCCCAGA
rnacentral:snoRNA from 1 species